CCUACGGGCGGCUGCAGUGGGGAAUAUUGGACAAUGGGGGCAACCCUGAUCCAGCCAUGCCGCGUGUGCGAAGAAGGCCCUCGGGUUGUAAAGCACUUUCAGUGAGGAAGAACGCCUGGUGGUUAAUACCCAUCAGGAAAGACAUCACUCACAGAAGAAGCACCGGCUAACUCCGUGCCAGCAGCCGCGGUAAUACGGAGGGUGCGAGCGUUAAUCGGAAUUACUGGGCGUAAAGCGCGCGUAGGUGGCUUGAUAAGCCGGUUGUGAAAGCCCCGGGCUCAACCUGGGAACGGCAUCCGGAACUGUCAAGCUAGAGUGCAGGAGAGGAAGGUAGAAUUCCCGGUGUAGCGGUGAAAUGCGUAGAGAUCGGGAGGAAUACCAGUGGCGAAGGCGGCCUUCUGGACUGACACUGACACUGAGGUGCGAAAGCGUGGGUAGCAAACAGGAUUAGAUACCCCAGUAGUC
rnacentral:rRNA from 1 species